UACGGGGGGAGCAAGCGUUGUUCGGAUUUACUGGGCGUAAAGGGCGCGUAGGCGGUCAGCACAAGUCAAUUGUGAAAUCUCCGAGCUUAACUCGGAAAGGUCAACUGAAACUGUGCGACUAGAGUGCGGAAGGGGCAACUGGAAUUCUCGGUGUAGCGGUGAAAUGCGUAGAUAUCGAGAGGAACACCUGCGGCGAAGGCAAGGUGCUGGACCCUCUCUGACGCUGAGGCGCGAAAGCCAGGGGAGCGAACGGG
rnacentral:rRNA from 1 species